AGGACAAACGCUGGCGGCGUGCAUAAAACAUGCAAGUCGGACGAACAAAAUCCCGCAAGGGAUUAGUUAGUGGCGAACGGCUGAGUAACACGUAGGUGACCUGCCCCGAAGUGGGGGACAACUCGCCGAAAGGCGAGCUAAUACCGCAUGUGACCACCGGUUCGUUCCGGUGCUCAAAGCAGUAAUGCGCUUCGGGAGGGGCCUGCGGCGGAUUAGCUAGUUGGUGGGUAAUGGCCUACCAAGGCUUCGAUCCGUAGC
rnacentral:rRNA from 1 species